rnacentral:ncRNA from 1 species
UCAAAGGCAAAGUAUGCGAAAGCAUAUGACGCAAAGCUAUGAAUCUAAAACCAUUAUGGUCAUGAUCGUCAGGCUGC